GAUGAACGCUGGCGGCGUGCCUAAUACAUGCAAGUCGAGCGAACAGACGAGGAGCUUGCUCCUUCGACGUUAGCGGCGGACGGGUGAGUAACACGUAGGUAACCUACCUAUAAGACUGGGAUAACUUCGGGAAACCGGAGCUAAUACCGGAUAAUAUUUCGAACCGCAUGGUUCGAUAGUGAAAGAUGGCUUUGCUAUCACUUAUAGAUGGACCUGCGCCGUAUUAGCUAGUUGGUAAGGUAACGGCUUACCAAGGCAACGGUACGUAGCCGACCUGAGAGGGUGAUCGGCCACACUGGAACUGAGACACGGUCCAGACUCCUACGGGAGGCAGCAGUAGGGAAUCUUCCGCAAUGGGCGAAAGCCUGACGGAGCAACGCCGCGUGAGUGAUGAAGGUCUUCGGAUCGUAAAACUCUGUUAUUAGGGAAGAACAAACGUGUAAGUAACUGUGCACGUCUUGACGGUACCUAAUCAGAAAGCCACGGCUAACUACGUG
rnacentral:rRNA from 1 species